rnacentral:rRNA from 1 species
AAUACAGCGGGGUGUCUUUGAUGAUUGCUUCUUUGUUAGGAUUUUGAGGUUAUUCUAAGUGUGUGUUUUCUUUGGUUGUGUUACCUUUUGCAUCAUGAUUUAUUGAUGUUAAGCAGUUAUUUUGGUUGCCCGAAAAGUGAUGAUUUAGGUUUAAUCUGUUUAGAAUAAAAAGAUGUGCGGGUGGCAUUCUUUAGAGUUAGAUCUGGUUGUGAUAAAUAUAACGUAUUACUUGAUAUCUGGUUAGUAAAGUAGAUUUUGGUUUAUGCCUUUUGCUAUAAAGUGUGAGGUAAAUUAAGAGGUUAGUUUUCAUUUUAUAUUUUAAUUGUAGGUUAAAAGUACUUAGUUAUAAUUAGCGUGUUAUGACGUAUGAUUAAUUUUGUUUUUACCUUUAAUUUAUUAUUUACUAAUUUAAUUGUAUAAAAAUAGUAUGAUAGAAUAAGUAGUAUUAUUAGUUUACGUUUUUCUCGUCUUCCGCCGGACUGUUUAUUUAAAACAUUGCUAUUGUUUAAUUGUCGAUAGUAUAGCCUGCCCAGUGUCUUGUGUUGAUAAACGGCCGCAGUAUCUUGACUGUGCUAAGGUAGCAUAAUUAGUUGCCCUAUAAUUGAGGGAUUGUUUGAAUGGUAUUACUAGGUGGUUUGGUUUAGAUGUAAAUUUAUUUGUGAAAUUGGUUAGUUGGUGUAGAACCCAAUUUUUAUUAAUAAGACGGAAAGACCCCGAGAGCUUUAUGAUUAGUUGUUUGCUUGGGGUAAGAGCACAAGUUUAUGUGUUUUUUGAUCCUUUAUAAUGGAUUAUAGGUAAAGUUACCUUGGGGAUAACUAGGUGAGAAAUAAGGAGAGUUCUUAUCGAUUUAUUUGUUUGCUAUCUCGAUGUUGACUUAGGGUAUUGUGCGUAUGGUGCAGGAGCUUACGUAUUGGGUCUGUUCGACCUAUAAAUUAAUCCCUUCAUGAGUUGAGUUAAGACCGGUGUGAGCCAGGUCGGUUCUUAUCUAUUGUUCGUUUGGCUUAGUACGAAAGGAUUAGCUGAGAUUUUGGUUUGGCGGGACAUUAAAUGGUUCACUCUGCAAAGGUGAAAUUUGGAUAUUACUAUAUCCC